AACGAACGCUGGCGGCAGGCUUAACACAUGCAAGUCGAACGCCCCGCAAGGGGAGUGGCAGUCGGGUGAGUAACGCGUGGGAAUCUACCGUGCCCUGCGGAAUAGCUCCGGGAAACUGGAAUGAAUACCGCAUACGCCCUACGGGGGAAAGAUUUAUCGGGGAAUGAUGAGCCCGCGUUGGAUUAGGUAGUUGGGGGGGUAAAGGCCUGCCAAGGCGACGAUCCAGAGCUGGUCUGAGAGGAUGAUCAGCCACAUUGGGACUGGGACACGGCCCAAACUCCUACGGGAGGCAGCAGUGGGGAAUAUUGGACAAUGGGCGCAAGCCUGAUCCAGCCAUGCCGCGUGAGUGAUGAAGGCCUUAGGGUUGUAAAGCUCUUUCACCGGAGAAGAUAAUGACGGUAUCCGGAGAAGAAGCCCCGGCUAACUUCGUGCCAGCCGCCGCCGUAA
rnacentral:rRNA from 1 species